rnacentral:lncRNA from 1 species
UGGCAUAGGCCCCCAUGUAUCCAAAUGGAUAAGUUGAAAGGGAUGAGAUGUUUUGAUAGAACUCUCAGGAAAAGAGAGCCUGGAUUGUCUGGCUAAUGGACAAAUAGUACAUAUAAAAGGUUGUUUAUUUGCAAACUUACAUGGAAGAGAAGAUAUAUCUUUCAUUCUUACAAAAGGGAUGUGUCCAAGUCUAUUAUGCCACAGUAUUUCCAUCUUAUUCAAUGCAGUAUGUAAAGUACAAUGAGAAGUAGAGUUUAACAACUAAUGGGGAAGAAGAAGAUUGAGAAGGAGUAGAAGGAGAUGAUUGCACAAGCCUG